rnacentral:rRNA from 1 species
UACGGAGGGUGCAAGCGUUGUCCGGAAUCACUGGGCGUAAAGGGCGCGUAGGCAGCUCGGUAAGUAGGGGGUGAAAUCCUGCGGCUUAACCGCAGGGCUGCCUUCUAAACUGUCGAGCUCGAGCACGGUAGAGGCAGAUGGAAUUCCCGGUGUAGCGGUGGAAUGCGUAGAGAUCGGGAAGAACAUCAGUGGCGAAGGCGGUCUGCUGGGCCGUUGCUGACGCUGAGGCGCGACAGCGUGGGGAGCAAACAGG